GGAAAAUGGCUGCUGAGUGUGUGGAAAGAGUAUAAAAGAUUUCAGUGGGAAGAUUCUACAAUCAUUUGAGAUUCUCCAUUGCUGGAAAAUUCUCAAAUUAGACUUAUGAAGGCAAUUUGAUUUAGCAAACAGCUCUCUGGACCAAGCAAAUCUUCUCAGCAGGGAUGGAAUUUGAACUGCACUUGUCCCUGGUUCUCACCUUCCCUGAGAAGCAGCGCAUCUGCAGUGUCCCAGGUGAUGCCCCCCACAGGCCUUGAAGCUUGUCUUCCAGAAGAGCCUUCGUUUCAGGGGCAGCAUUCCAGGAAGCACGCCCAUGAAACACUCAUGAGGAGGAACUGGGCUGCCAAUUAUGACUUGUCACUACUCCAUCAACAUAAAAGGGCCAGAAGGACUCCACCAAAUUUCAACACUAAGAUAACCACCUGUUACCAGUCAUCAACAGAUAGUUACUGAGGACCUGCCAUGCAUCAGGAACUGCAGAUGCAGGAAAUAAUAUGGACAACAGAUACAGAUUCUGCCUCAUUACUUUUGUAGUUUUCUAGUGUUCAACUCUUGAUAUACAUAUAAGAUCCGCAUCAUCUGUUAAACAUAGAGCUUAGAUCCUCUCAUGAGAGUUCAGGCGCAUUCAGGGUGAUGUGGCUGUAGCCUCUGAUUCUC
rnacentral:lncRNA from 1 species